rnacentral:rRNA from 1 species
GGUCAAGUUGUUAAGAGCAUACGGUGGAUGCCUUGGCACCAGGAGCCGAUGAAGGACGUAGGAGGCUGCGAUAAGCCUCGGGGAGCUGUCAACCGAGCUGAGAUCCGAGGAUUUCCGAAUGGGGAAACCCGGCCCCAGUCAUGUGGGGUCACCUGCACCUGAAUGUAUAGGGUGUGUGGAGGGAACGCGGGGAAGUGAAACAUCUCAGUACCCGCAGGAAGAGAAAACAACCGUGAUUCCGUGAGUAGUGGCGAGCGAAAGCGGAAGAGGCUAAACCAGUUUCGUGUGAUACCCGGCAGGGGUUGCGUUUCUGGGGUCGUGGGACCUAUCAGCUAGAUCUGCCGGUCUGGCAAGAAGUAAGAAAGCAUCGCGUUAGUUGAACGCUCUGGGAAGGGCGACCGUAGAGGGUGAGAGUCCUGUAGGCGAAAACGUGAUGGUCUUCUGAUGGUGUUCCCAAGUAGCAGCGAGCUCGUGGAAUUUGCUGUGAAUCUGGCGGGACCACCCGCUAAGCCUAAAUACUCCCUGGUGACCGAUAGCGGACUAGUACCGUGAGGGAAAGGUGAAAAGUACCCCGGGAGGGGAGUGAAAGAGUACCUGAAACCGUGUGCUUACAAUCCGUCAGAGCCUUCGGGUGAUGGCGUGCCUUUUGAAGAAUGAGCCUGCGAGUUAGUGGUGCGUGGCGAGGUUAACCCGUGUGGGGUAGCCGUAGCGAAAGCGAGUCUGAAUAGGGCGAAAUAGUCGCGUGCUCUAGACCCGAAGCGGAGUGAUCUACCCAUGGCCAGGGUGAAGCGACGGUAAGACGUCGUGGAGGCCCGAACCCACCAGGGUUGAAAACCUGGGGGAUGAGCUGUGGGUAGGGGUGAAAGGCCAAUCAAACUCCGUGAUAGCUGGUUCUCCCCGAAAUGCAUUUAGGUGCAGCGUCACAUGUUUCACGCCGGAGGUAGAGCUACUGGAUGGUCUAGGGGGCCUACAAGCUUACUGAAAUCAGCCAAACUCCGAAUGCCGGUGUGUGAAGUGUGGCAGUGAGACUGCGGGGGAUAAGCUUCGUAGUCGAGAGGGAAACAGCCCAGAACACCGGCUAAGGCCCCUAAGUGUGCGCUAAGUGGGAAAGGAUGUGGGGUCGCUCAGACAACCAGGAGGUUGGCUUAGAAGCAGCCACCCUUUAAAGAGUGCGUAAUAGCUCACUGGUCAAGUGGUUCCGCGCCGACAAUGUAGCGGGGCUUAAGCGUACCGCCGAAGCCGUGUCAUUCACACUAUAGAUCGGCUCCCGGGCUUGAACCGGGUGUCUAGUCGUGUGGAUGGGUAGGGGAGCGUCGUGCAUCCAGGGAAGCAGCCGCGUGAGCGAGUUGUGGAGGGUGUGCGAGUGAGAAUGCAGGCAUGAGUAGCGAUUGCAGAGUGAGAACCUCUGCCGCCGGAUGACCAAGGGUUCCUGGGCCAGGUUAAUCCGCCCAGGGUAAGUCGGGACCUAAGGCGAGGCCGACAGGCGUAGUCGAUGGACAACGGGUUGAUAUUCCCGUACCCGUGUGGAUGCGCCCAUGGUGAGGCGAGGGAUACUAACCACCCGAGCGAAGUGGAUCCUUCGGGAGAAACUGAGUGAGCGUGGGACCUGAUCUCGUAGUAGUCAAGCGAUGGGGUGACGCAGGAAGGUAGCUCCGCCAGUGAGUGGUAGUACUGGUGUAAGCGUGUAGGCCGGGUGAUAGGCAAAUCCGUCAUCCAUUAAGGCUGAGACGUGAUGCGUAGCCGAUUGAGGCGAAGUAGAGUGAUCCUAUGCUGCCGAGAAAAGCCUCUAGUGAGUGUUCACGCGGCCCGUACCCCAAACCGACACAGGUGGUCAGGUAGAGAAUACCGAGGCGUUCGGGUGAACUGUGGUUAAGGAACUCGGCAAAAUGCCCCCGUAACUUCGGGAGAAGGGGGGCCCGCUGACUUGAAGCUCUUUACGGGCUAGGGUUGGUUGGCCGCAGAGACCAGGGAGAAGCGACUGUUUACUAAAAACACAGGUCCGUGCGAAGUCGCAAGACGAUGUAUACGGACUGACGCCUGCCCGGUGCUGGAACGUUAAGGGGACCGGUUAGUCACACUUGUGUGGCGAAGCUGAGAACUUAAGCGCCAGUAAACGGCGGUGGUAACUAUAACCAUCCUAAGGUAGCGAAAUUCCUUGUCGGGUAAGUUCCGACCUGCACGAAUGGCGUAACGACUUCUCCGCUGUCUCAACCACAGGCCCGGUGAAAUUGCAUUACGAGUAAAGAUGCUCGUUACGCGCGGCAGGACGGAAAGACCCCGGGACCUUUACUAUAGCUUGGUAUUGGUGUUUGGUUCGGCUUGUGUAGGAUAGGUGGGAGACUGUGAAGCUGCGACGCUAGUUGUGGUGGAGUCAUCGUUGAAAUACCACUCUGGUCGUACUGGAUAUCUAACCUCGGACCGUGAUCCGGUUCAGGGACAGUGCCUGGUGGGUAGUUUAACUGGGGCGGUUGCCUCCCAAAGGGUAACGGAGGCGCCCAAAGGUUCCCUCAGCCUGGUUGGCAAUCAGGUGUUGAGUGUAAGUGCACAAGGGAGCUUGACUGUGAGACUGACGGGUCGAGCAGGGACGAAAGUCGGGACUAGUGAUCCGGCACUGGCUUGUGGAAGCGGUGUCGCUCAACGGAUAAAAGGUACCCCGGGGAUAACAGGCUGAUCUUGCCCAAGAGUCCAUAUCGACGGCAUGGUUUGGCACCUCGAUGUCGGCUCGUCGCAUCCUGGGGCUGGAGUAGGUCCCAAGGGUUGGGCUGUUCGCCCAUUAAAGCGGCACGCGAGCUGGGUUUAGAACGUCGUGAGACAGUUCGGUCCCUAUCCGCCGCGCGCGUUGGAGACUUGAGGAAGGCUGUCCCUAGUACGAGAGGACCGGGACGGACGAACCUCUGGUGUGCCAGUUGUUCUGCCAAGGGCAUGGCUGGUUGGCUACGUUCGGAAGGGAUAACCGCUGAAGGCAUCUAAGCGGGAAGCCUGUUUCGAGAUGAGGUCUCCCACCCUCUUGAAGGGUUAAGGCCCCCUAUAGACGAUGGGGUUGAUAGGCCCGAGAUGGAAGCCUAGUAAUAGGUGGAGUUGACGGGUACUAAUAGGCCGAGGGCUUGCUCAC